GCUCGCAUGGCUUAGUGGUAAAGCGCAUCAGUAAGCUUUUCUGUACCGUCAAAUCAGUUGACAAUUUACUAACCAAAUUUCAGCUCGUAAAUCUAUUGGUGAAAUGAUGAGAUCCCCGGUUCAAUCCCGGGUGUGAGCA
rnacentral:tRNA from 1 species